rnacentral:rRNA from 1 species
GACAGAGGGUGCAAACGUUGUUCGGAUUCAUUGGGCGUAAAGGGUGCGUAGGCGGCGCGGUAAGUCGGGUGUGAAAUCUUGGAGCUUAACUCCGAAACUGCAUUCGAUACUGCCGUGCUUGAGGACUGGAGAGGAGACUGGAAUUUACGGUGUAGCGGUGAAAUGCGUAGAUAUCGUAAGGAAGACCAGUGGCGAAGGCGGGUCUCUGGACAGUUCCUGACGCUGAGGCACGAAGGCCAGGGGAGCAAACGGG